rnacentral:rRNA from 1 species
UACGGGGGGGGCAAGCGUUGUUCGGAAUUACUGGGCGUAAAGGGCUCGUAGGCGGCCAACUAAGUCAGACGUGAAAUCCCUCGGCUUAACCGGGGAACUGCAUCUGAUACUGGAUGGCUUGAGUUCGGGAGAGGGAUGCGGAAUUCCAGGUGUAGCGGUGAAAUGCGCAGAUAUCAGGAGGAACACCAAUGGCGAAGGCAGCUCGCUGGGACGGUACUGACGCUGAGGCGCGAAAGCGUGGGGAGCAAACAGG